AUUGAACGCUGGCGGCAUGCCUAACACAUGCAAGUCGAACGGGUGGCGGACGGGUGAGUCAUUUCUUGGAAACUGCCUGAUUGAGGGGGAUAACUCCUGGAAACGGUCGCUAAUACCGCAUACCAUCGGAUGUGCCCAGAUGGGAUUAGCUAGUCGGUGGGGUAAAGGCUCACCUAGGCGACGAUCCCUAGCUGGUCUGAGAGGAUGACCAGCCACACUGUGACUGAGACACGGUCCAGACUCCUACGGGAGGCAGCAGUGGGGAAUAUUGCGCAAUGGGCGAAAGCCUGAUGCAGCCAUGCCGCGUGUAUGAAGAAGGCCUUCGGGUUGUAAAGCUCUUUGAGCGGGGAGGCGUUACCCGCAGAAGAAGCACCGGCUAACUCCGUGCCAGCAGCCGCGGUAAUAC
rnacentral:rRNA from 1 species